UGUCUGUCUUGUUGAUUAUGACACCUGUUGAAUGAAGAGAGCGUCCUGAAGGUGAAGAUGUGAUGAAAAGUUGGCACUCGCCGUCGUGACAAAUGUACACACUGACAGCAGACAGCGACUUUUAGGGAAACUGCUACCUGAGGGCUCGGAGUGAGAAAAACUACAGAUGUCGGACAUUUUUCAAGUUUUUACUCAAGGCACAAGCGAGACUUUGCAGCGACCAAUCAGAUGAGCUCCUUUGGUCAUCACUCCUCUGCACCAGGGUUCCUAAACACGCCUCCCAGCGGCCAAGUAGACUCACCGACAAGGAACUCGCAUGGCUGCGGUUUUUGUGACCCCAAGAUGCAGGAACCAGGAGGACAAAGAGAAGGCGUCAACACAAAGCCUGUUUGGGCUACAAACACACGGAUCCUGCAGCUCUGAGGAUGAUGGCGAUGAUGGCGAUGGCGCUCUGCAUCAACCUGCACGCACCUGACACUUGCAGCAAGAUAAGAUUACAGGCUCGUCUGCAGGCGGCCUAAUGAGAAGGAGGAGGACACGUCACACAAUCACAUUGGAAGUGAGUUCACUUCCUGUUUGGCUCCACCACUCUGGCCUGAGCGCCGUCUCUGAUUGACCAUCAAGACACUCACCUGCUCCUGAUCACUAAUCAGAGAGCUACAGUACGUGUGACAGCUUUUCAAGACUCUUCUUACCUGCACGUCGUCUCCAGUCUGCACACCUUGAGGUGACAACCGCCGCAGCCUCACCAGUACGUGACAGUUUCUUCUUCACAAAAAUAAUAAUGCAUCAAAAUCAGUGUUAUGAGUUGUUGACCUUUUGAAGACCUCAUUUAAAGUAUUCCAGUUUG